rnacentral:tRNA from 1 species
ACGGGUGUAGCUCAGCUGGUAGAGUAGUGGUCUCCAAAACCAUUGGUCGUGGGUUCGAUCCCUACCGCCCGUG